rnacentral:lncRNA from 10 species
GUCCAGUCUUCUAGAGCACAGGGCUCCGCUACCAGCCUUUUGAAGACAGCCCCACUGGGGAGGGACUUCAGAGCAGCCCCUUCCUCCAGUGUCUCCACAGGCUUGCGGUCCCAGAGAUGCUCCAUCACCACCCUCAGGGAGGCUGAGCUUCCUAUGAUGGUCUUGCUGGCUCUACUCACAGCCGAAAGCGACCCGGAUUGAGCAACACAGUGGGCUGGGCCCUGGCGUUUUGUGCUUUACAACACGUGAGCCUUGAGUCCCUACAGCGGCACCACUCCGUGGACAAGAC